AUAUUUAGAAUAACAGAAAGUAAAAUUAGUAAGAGACAGAAACGAAAAAGGUCCGUUUUUUCAUUUUCUGAAACCGGAAGUGGACAUCAGCAAGUGUGAAGCCAAACAGAGUACGAUGCAUAGACUGUACAUUUUUUCCGUGAGUUUUCAUGGUCAAAAUAAGAGAUCAGGUGGCCGAUCUUAAAAAUAAAUCAAGAUUGAAUUUUUUAUAGAGCGUUAAAGUUUUGCGAAGCAAGGGGGCGGGGCUACUUUAUUGAUAGUCUGGUCUGGAAUGAUUGACAGGUCCUAUGGAGGAAGCAGCAGAGACUCUGCUCUCCUCGUUUGGAUUAAUUCUGAUAUAAUAACUGUUGGUUUAUUUAUCAGUGCAGCAGCAGAACAUUUUCCACAGACAGUUUUCCUGCCCGUUGGCUUGUUUUAACCAGUUUUCUACCUUCGGCUGAUUCUACCAGCAGACACUGAAAGGACACUGAUUCUUCUGUGUCUCAUAUUCACUGUGAGGAUCUUCUGAGUGAAGCCAACAGAAGGAAAACCUCGUCUGGAUGAGAAGAAGGAGACUGAAUGGACGACAUCUUCAGUGAGCCACUUCCUGUUUAGCUUUCACUUACAGAAGAGUGAAAGUAGCAGUUCCUCCUUAAGGUCAGAGAUUGCAGCAUCUGAGGGCCUCUUCAAAAGAAGACGUAGUUGAUGAAGGCGUUCUGGAGCAGGACCAGAAAGACCACGACCAAGCAGCCUUGAGAUCUUAGGCAGCGUCUCCCUCAGGUCCCUCUCUAUCUCCCUACACAUCCACCAACCACUGGAACACAUCUCCAAAGUUCUGCCGGGCCAGCUCAGCUUCCCUUCAGAAGAAGUGCUGCCACCUGCCAGAUGAAGGAGCCUUUUGAGAGGCAGCUGGCAUCGUGAUUGGACUGUACUUUGGUCUGUUCCAAUCCAGCUUCAGCUCCAGAGACGGCAGGCGGGACGAGUCAACGGAGGCCGGGUGGACGAAGGCAUGCAGCUGAGUACAAUCCAGAAAACAACAGAGGAGGAGUGCAGUGGCCCAGGGCCAGAACAACCAGAGUAGCAUCGUAUGUCUCUUAGAAAACAUCAUAGUAUAGCCUUUGGUAUGAAAAAAAGCCAUCAUAUACAUCAUAUAUUGUACAAAUAAGUCAAAGGAAAGAGACAUACACUGUAGAAUUGUAGUAAUUGUGGGCUGACUGAUUUACUGAUUAUCAGUAUUUUAUUUUUUACUGAUUUACGGUAAUAAAUACAUUUAAAAAUGG